CACCAAUCCCUCGUUUUGGGUCGGUGGCGUGUGUGUGUUUGCUUUCUUUGGGGAGGUGGGGCCUUUAUUUUAUUUAUUCACACAUAUUUUUUAGAUGAUAUCAGUUGUAACUCUGCAUUCUCACGUGAAGAUCAGUAAUUCAGCACCUCGGCUUCCCUGGGCUUGACAGUGACAGCUGCUUUGUCACCUCAUGUUCUCAGGAGCCCCUCUCACUCCUUAAUCCUUAGUGCUCAGACAAAUCAGAGAGAGGUAGGAGCCACCGUUCGGGCUGCCCUGUCCGCACCGGUGUGCUCAUCAGCGGUACAGCGUGAGGCUGGCAGCAGUCAGGGCUCUGCCUCCUCACCUAACAGUAGAAGAGGAAGCCAGGCUGCUUCACACGAAGUAAAUGACAGCGCUUCCGUGGCUGCGAUCUGCGCUUAUGAUCUGAGCCGUAACUGCUGUUUUUCACUCAAGUUUGCGCUCUGAAAAGAAAUGAAAGCAUUCAGCCUUAUCUCGUACAUCUGCGCGGCAGUAUAAGCUGCUUUCCUUGAUGUCCUGAGUUCUGCUCUCACCAAGGCUCUGGUAUUCAUGUUGGACAGUUUGCAAGGCACGGCUGAAGCAGGUGGGUAGCUGCCAAGCAGAAAUGGCCCUCCAAAAGUGCCACCUCCUUCCACUGCUGACGGUCUGAAGGCGGGAUCUGUGGUGUGGGUUUGCUUGGCUGGGGGUGACUCGGAGGUAAAACUGUCUGCCAGCUAAGAGGAGCUUGCAUCUGGAGGUGCUGACUGCCACUGUACUUCUGGGGCCCUGUUUUGUGGUAGAUUACAACCCUAGAUUUUUGGAAGGGAAGUGACUCAUGCUAACAGGAGGGAAAACAAAGUGUCUGGCUGAGCGCCCCGAGUGUGAGAGAAGGAGCUCCAUAUCUCAACAGCUUCUGUAUCUCUUAUUUAUAAAUACCACUGGAUAAUAGCAUGUCCUAGACUCACAAAAUUCAUUGUUCCUUAGUGGAAUUAAUGGUUUCCCUAUACAAGACUUUUUUUUUUCUCUCUCUCUCUCUCUUUUUUUUUUUUCUUUUUUUUGCUUGAUUUUCUACCUUUUAUACGUUUUCACACGUGGAAGAGGCUGCACAGGCUGUGCCAUUGCACUGGGGAGCAUGGAUGUGUGCUCCAAAGCCCUACUAUCAGCCUUGCAGUGUUGCUUCUGUGUUCCUCCUUUUGCCUUUGGAUGGAUGGGGUUGCAGUCCCCAUUUGCUAAUCCUACCGAGGGCUUGUCGUGCAGAGAUCAGAUCUCUGAGAACAAACACCUGAGUCCCCAAAGUGAUCUCAUUCUGCUGAAUGAAUGUAAAUGCAGGCAGACUUGCCCUCAUGUGGCCCUUGAUGCUAACAAAUCCCUGGUGCUCACCUGGGGGUUGGCACCGUGCACAUCAGGGCCCUGCUCUGGGAUCAAACGUGGCCUUGAGCCAGCACAGGAGUAUGUUCCCAUUAUGAAAUACAAUCCCAAGUAAGCUUCAGAGGUGUGUGGAUAUUCAAUGGGAAUCUGAGGGCGAACCCCAUCAGAAAUGAAGUCAUCAGCAGGAUUUCUUGUGCGUUUAGUUCAGCGCUCACGUGCCAAAUUCUCACUUAUUUCCCUGCUGCUCGCCAGGCUGUCCCUUAGCCCGGUGAGUACCAGCACCAUUUGCCCCACACCAAACCAUCCUGGGCAGCUCUGGUGGCUGUCUCCUGCCUCUGCGACAGGCAGAAGUUCAAGAUGGUGCCUCUGGCCCUGGGGCUGAGGCACAGAGGGGUCCUCUGCCCCCCGGGGAGACAGCGCCAGCUGCCUCACAUCCCUUUUACUGGUAAAAAGGAACUGCUUGACCCUUGCUUGUAAAAGAUUUCCUGGAAUUUGUAGCGUUAUUUCUAAGGACAUCCCUAUCCUGUGGCCGACGUGUCCCCUGGAACCUUUUGUAGCCUGUGGCUUGCUUUAAAGAUAGCAACGUAAUGGCAGGGUGGAGGGAAAAUGCCUCCCUGACUGUCCUGCAGAGAGAACCUGGCCCUGUCCUCGUGUCCUUGUGAUGGUGCUGGGACGGAGGCUUUGAUGGUUGGUGUUAACUCAAAUAAGAAACCUCUCAUUAAACUAGAAACUCAAAGCCAUGUGAUUUUUAGCUUCUGUUUUACAUAGGUCUCCUGGGAACUUUCUUUCUAGCUGCGCAGCCCUCUGUCUGACCACAAGGAGUUACCAUUUCUUUAAAUACCAGCCCUGUCAUGUAAUAGUGGGGUUUGGGCAACGUCUCAGCCCUGUGAUUCAGUGCCGUUAUGCAGCCUUCCAGCAGAUUAGAGAACCUAGUCAGCAAAACAGAUCUCAGGGGACCUGCGAGUUUGAGGUAGAUUUCUUCCUUUGGGACAUCUGGAAGGGGAGCAGGGAGAUGAAGCUGGGCGUUUGGUGCUUGCAGCAGACUACAGAUGACUGCACGCCGUAGCUGGUAAAAGCCAGUGGCCUUUCCUCACCUGGAGCCCCAGUGAUAUUUGUCCUUCUUGCAUCAUGGUUGAGCUCACUGGGAAAAUGGGUAGGCAGAAGGGAGUUGUUAAUUCUCAUAGUACAAUACAGGAACCAUUAUGUUACGUUCAUCCUGCCUUUGAUGGUUUGUUUUUUCAUUUAUUCCCUUGUUUUCCACUCUCUGAAUUCUAGAUUUAGGGGGGAAAGAAAGUCAGGGGGAGAAAACUUCAUGAGACCUGCGCUGAAAAUUGUAAUCCUGACAACUGUAGCUCAGCCACUUGCUGACCGUGGAGGUCGCCAACCUCCAGGAGCCUUCAUUCUCCCCCUCACUUUAUCUUGGUGCUGCCACCUCCGUGUCUGCCCAGAGCUGAGCACGGGUUGUGACCAGGUGGAGAACUCCUUGACGUCCCCUGGUGCCGCAGCCUGAAGGGGCUGUGGGGACAUCCGUGCGUGUUGCCAGCCCGGCUUCCUUGGGUAGCCACCGCUCGGUCGUCACGUCCCCAGGGCAGGGUGGAGUUCCCUUAUCGGGGAGUGCCAACUGCCACCAGAAAAACCCCACAUCAGCCUCCCAGCAGCUGGGGGUGUUUACGGAUUGUAUCCAGUGUUGGUUUGACGCAAGGUACAAAAAUAGAGCGUGCAGCAGGAACAAGCACCUUCCCCUUUGAGGAGACAGCACUAACCGCUGAAAGUCAUGUUUGGGUCUGUUCCCUGUACCCAGCACCAGCUUCUGGUUUGUCACCUUUUCUUUUUUCCACUGCUUUGAAUCACCAAGAGCAUUUCCAUAGCAAGAGGAAAAAGGAAAUUAAAUCCCCUCCUGGAUUGAGCAGGAAUUUUGACCAUUCUUCUUCCUGUACUUACAAGGAGGGGCAGUGACAGCUUUAUCCCUUUGCCGUGUUUUGGGACCAGGAUCUGCUCCUGCCAGUGAGAUUCAGGUGAUGCUAAAACCUCUUUACAAUUAAAUCUAGGCCUGAGUAUAUCAGACGGAUACGCCUGGCCCUGGGCUAGGCACCUCCUUCUGUUGCUUGAAGAUUGCUCUCUCAGCAGCAGAGGGACGACAACCACAACGGAAGGUGUACCAAUGCCCCAAAGUAGUCUGUAACAGCUGGAGAUUAUUCCUAAAUGCAGUUCAAGGCUUUAAUAAAGCAGGAAGCAAUAAACACCAGAGGAAAGAUGUGAUAAGAAAAGCAAUGAUCCCUGUCUCUGACUGCAUAUUUCAACUGGAGUGUCGUAUUUUCACCCCAAGAUCCUCCUAGGGCUGCCCAGCUUCCCAAAUGAUCUCCUUUUUGGCACGUUUUUUUUAAAUUUUGAGAAAUCCUUGUGGCCUUCUGCUUUAUAUCAGCAGUGUUACCCCUGCAACUUAAUUCAUUAGUGCAAAUCACUGUAGAGAAGGGCCAGUAAAGCAGUUUACUUCCCAACAAAAUCAUCACAGCAGCAAGUGGUGCUACCAAAACUGCUGUGAGGAUGUGCUUUUUGGGGCUAUUUUAUCCUGGAUAAAUAAGAGAACCUUUUUCAAAGCUGGAUCUGGAAACUCUGUCUUUUGGGCCCUGGUGUAUAGCAUAUGGCUUGUAUUUGCAUAGAGGUUGGUUUAUCAGCCCAAAAUCUGGACCCCAACCACACUUGGUGUUAGCUGGCCAUGUGAACCCAGGCACUGCUGUGACCACUCCAGCUUCUCUGUUCUUUGUCAGGGUAUUCAUCAAACCAUCUCUGAUGAUAGUUUAUCUUCUUUCUUGUUUUUUUUUGUUGGAUGGGGUUGAUUUGUAUCUGGCUCGGCCACUGUGGUUUUAGGGUACGGCCACGAGCUGUGUUCCAGGCUGCCUGGCCAGCGGUGCGGGCUUUCUGCGCGGGUGCCGAGCUGUUCUGGGGACACCGGGGGCGAUGCUGAUUUUUGGCCUCUAACAGCAAAGCAAAAAAGGAAGCGAACAGCGAGGUGUCGGAACUUGCUGCUGGUGCUUGCUUGAUUGCAUCAGAAAAGCCUAACGCUGAGUACAGAGAAAUGGGCAGCGUUCACUGGGCACUGACAACCCGAUGGCAAAAUAACGAAUAAACGCAGCGCUGAUGGAUGGAGAGAAGCACAUGGGGGAACAAAAACCAUGCUUAGGGUGAUGGUGAAGGCUCCAAAGCUUCAAAGUUGAGAAUAAACUUAAUUCAACAAUCUGAAGAAAAAAUAAAAUGUGUGGCAGGAACCAUGCCUUCCAGCCUCGGGGCGUCUGCAAUGCUGUUGGCCAAGUGCUACGAGGUGAUGGAGAGGGCAGCUGAAGCAAACCCUGCCUGGAGCAGAGCUGCCACGGAUGGCAGGAGAAGGCAGGCAGAGCACCUGAACCCGGCUCACGCGAGCUACCGCGACCAUUGCAGCAGACUUCCUGUAAAAAGAGACCGUUAAUAGUAAUAUGAAUAAACCACACCGUGGAGGAAAUGGCUGCUCUUGCGCCUACGGUAUUUUCUAAGUGGGAAAAUUGAAGCACGUCGAGUUCUUCUCGUCUGAUUAUUUCUGAACUUCUGACAACCUUUCAUGUGAUUUCUCUCCCCGCUCUGAAGCUAAAAGUGGCUCUGUGGGGUCGUGCUGGGCUGUCCUGCUGCCUCCCACAUGGCUGGGGGAAGGAGACCAGUGGUGGGUGCACAUGUGGCUGGCAUAGCAGAGGUCAGGGACUCUCCCUCUGGUGCUGGGGGCUUCAUUCCCAUCCCCCAGAAAACACCACUCAAUUCACAGCCUGAUGGACCUAAGGGAAAACACUCCAUUUAGGGUGGGUCUGAAACGUGUAAGUGUUCAUAAAUGGCAAAAAAAAGCUUAAAAUUGUGCAUUAUCUUCAAAUAUGACCACUGAACUGAUUAUAUACAACAGGAAAUGCAAGCAGAUACUGGAAAAUAAAUAGUUUUUUUUUAUUGUUGUGAACAAAUUACAAUGUGCUGCUCGUUUUCUGCAAAUUAGUGGUGCAUACUCAGCUGAAUGCAUGUACAGACACAGGCUGGCAGUGUGGGCGGGGUGGUUUAUUAUACAGAGGGAUUUUAAAAGUUUUUUAAAAAAGGUCUUUCUGUGUUCCAACAGUCUCUGGAAUUCACAUCAUUUUUCUACAAAAUGUCUUCAUAAAUAAAAUCUAUAAAACAGUAUUUGCAUUAAAUAAAAUCUAAUAUCACAGUAUUUUUACAAUUCAAAAUGUAACAUUUCAAAUGUUCACGUAACAACAGAUUAUACAAGAAGGUGCAAAUAAAGUACCAGUGGAGCA